AAUGGGCGCAAGCCUGAACCAGCCAUCCCGCGUGAAGGAUGACGGCCCUAUGGGUUGUAAACUUCUUUUAUACAGGAAGAAAAAUCCCUACGUGUAGGGACUUGCCGGUACUGUAUGAAUAAGCAUCGGCUAACUCCGUGCCAGCAGCCGCGGUAAUACGGAGGAUGCAAGCGUUAUCCGGAUUCAUUGGGUUUAAAGGGUGCGUAGGCGGCUUUUUAAGUCAGUGGUGAAAUCUUGCCGCUUAACGGUAAAAUUGCCAUUGAUACUGAAGAGCUUGAGUACAAUUGAGGUAAGCGGAAUGUGUAGUGUAGCGGUGAAAUGCUUAGAUAUUACACAGAACACCAAUUGCGAAGGCAGCUUACUAAACUGUCACUGACGCUGAUGCACGAAAGCGUGGGGAGCGAA
rnacentral:rRNA from 1 species